GACUCUUUGGUGUUGUGGUCAAGCCGCAGGGUUAGUACCCUGGAGCCCAGGUUCAAGACCGUGUGGGGUCA
rnacentral:tRNA from 1 species